rnacentral:tRNA from 1 species
AGGCUUGUAGCUCAGGUGGUUAGAGCGCACCCCCGAUAAGGGUGAGGUCGGUGGUUCAAGUCCACUCAGGCCUA